rnacentral:rRNA from 1 species
GACGAACGCUGGCGGCGUGCCUAAUACAUGCAAGUAGAACGCUGAAGGAGGAGCUUGCUUCUCUGGAUGAGUUGCGAACGGGUGAGUAACGCGUAGGUAACCUGCCUGGUAGCGGGGGAUAACUAUUGGAAACGAUAGCUAAUACCGCAUAAUAGUAGAUGUUGCAUGACAUUUGCUUAAAAGGUGCAAUUGCAUCACUACCAGAUGGACCUGCGUUGUAUUAGCUAGUUGGUGAGGUAACGGCUCACCAAGGCAACGAUACAUAGCCGACCUGAGAGGGUGAUCGGCCACACUGGGACUGAGACACGGCCCAGACUCCUACGGGAGGCAGCAGUAGGGAAUCCUCGGCAAUGGACGGAAGUCUGACCGAGCAACGCCGCGUGAGUGAAGAAGGUUUUCGGAUCGUAAAGCUCUGUUGUAAGAGAAGAACGAGUGUGAGAGUGGAAAGUUCACACUGUGACGGUAUCUUACCAGAAAGGGACGGCUAACUACGUG